rnacentral:rRNA from 1 species
UUUUGGACAAUGGGGGCAACCCUGAUCCAGCCAUGCCGCGUGUGUGAAGAAGGUCUUCGGGUUGUAAAGCUCUUUAAUCUGGGAAGAAAGGGCAUUGGCCUAAUAUCUUAUUGUUUUGACGUUACCGGCAGAAUAAGCACCGGCUAACUCCGUGCCAGCAGCCGCGGUAAUACAGUAGGGUGCAAGCGUUAAUCGGAAUUACUGGGCGUAAAGCGUGCGCAGGUGGUUUGUCAAGUCGGAUGUAAAUCCCCGGGCUCAACCUGGAAUUGCAUUCAAAACUGCCCGGCUAAGUGUGGAAAAGGGGGGUGAAUUUCCUGUGAGCGGUAAAUGCGAAUUGGAGAACACCAAGUGGCAAAGGAGGCCCCCUGGGAAACUCUGCGCUAGUCGCAAAUCUUA